GCGCCGGUGGUGUAAGGCGAACAUCGCUGCCCGGAAAGCAGAAGAUGUGGGUUCGAGUCCAUCCUGGCGCA
rnacentral:tRNA from 1 species